AUUGAACGCUGGCGGCAGGCCUAACACAUGCAAGUCGGGCGAGCGGCGGACGGGUGAGUAAUGUAUGGGGACUGCCCGAUAGAGGGGGAUAACUACUGGAAACGGUGGCUAAUACCGCAUACUAUCGGAUAACCCAUAUGGGAUUAGCUAGUAGGUGGGGAAAAGGCUCACCUAGGCCACGAUCUCUAGCUGGUCUGAGAGGAUGAUCGGACACACUGGGAGUGAGACACGGCCCAGACUCCUACGGAGGCAGCAGUGGGGGAUAUUGCACAAUGGGCGAAAGCCAGAUGCAGCGACGCCGCGUGGGGGAUGAAGGCUUACGGGUUGUAAACCUCUUUCGAUAUCGAACGGGUAGGUGGAGAAGAAGCGCCGGCUAACUACGUGCCAGCCGCCGCGGUAAUAC
rnacentral:rRNA from 1 species